GAUCCUGGCUCAGGAUGAACGCUAGCGGCAGGCUUAACACAUGCAAGUCGAGGGGCAGCACGAGGUAGCAAUACUUUGGUGGCGACCGGCGCACGGGUGCGUAACGCGUAUGCAACCUACCUUUAACAGGGGCAUAACACUGAGAAAUUGGUACUAAUUCCCCAUAACAUUCGAGAAGGCAUCUUCUUGGGUUAAAAACUCCGGUGGUUAAAGAUGGGCGUGCGUUGUAUUAGCUAGUUGGUGAGGUAACGGCU
rnacentral:rRNA from 1 species